rnacentral:misc_RNA from 1 species
AACGCACAUUGCGCCCCCUGGUAUUCCGGGGGGCACGCCUGUUCGAGCGCCAUUUCAACCCUCAAGCCUAGCUUGGUGAUGGGCCACACCCCGCAGGGGCGGGCCCGAAACUCGUAGGGCGCUGUCCGCCGGCUCUGAGCGUAGCAAGAGAAAUCCCUCGCUCCGGAUGUCCGUCGGGUGGCCGCCUCGAAAACCCACGAAAUAUUACAAGGUUGGCCUCGGAUCAGGCGGGGAUACCCGCUGAACUUAA